ACGCUCGACACCUACGGGAGACAGCAGUGGGGAAUAUUGCACAAUGGGGGAAACCCUGAUGCAGCGACGCCGCGUGAGCGAAGAAGUAUCUCGGUAUGUAAAGCUCUAUCAGCAGGGAAGAAGAUGACGGUACCUGACUAAGAAGCACCGGCUAAAUACGUGCAAGCAGCCGCGGUAAUCUGAGCGGGCUGGCAAGGC
rnacentral:rRNA from 1 species